rnacentral:rRNA from 1 species
UACGGAGGGUGCGAGCGUUGUCCGGAAUCACUGGGCGUAAAGGGUGCGUAGGCGGGUCUUUAAGUCAGGGGUGAAAUCCUGGAGCUCAACUCCAGAACUGCCUUUGAUACUGAGGAUCUUGAGUUCGGGAGAGGUGAGUGGAACUGCGAGUGUAGAGGUGAAAUUCGUAGAUAUUCGCAAGAACACCAGUGGCGAAGGCGGCUCACUGGCCCGAUACUGACGCUGAGGCACGAAAGCGUGGGAAGCAAACAGG